AAUGACACAAGGUGGCGCAGUAUUCUAGUCAGAAUUUGAUUAUUCUGAAGACGGGGCUAAAAAUCCGCCAAAGGGCACAUCGAUGAAGCUCCUUUUAUUUGCCGCUGACGCCCAGUCGGGGGCAUUUAUCGGGAGAAUGGCGCAGAGGGCGAUCCGUAAUGGCAUAUGGGCGAGAACCCUUUCCGCCGUGGAGGCUCACUUUCAUAUUUCCAUAUGACUGCGAGUAAUAAACCUGAAGUGAGGUCACAGUCGCAUAAGGCGAGACUUCACCUAAGCGUAGCCUGCCUUGAGUGAAAAGAGGGGAUGUCGGAUCGAGCCACAGGUCCGGCGGCCGAGGACGUGUGUCAAUUGCCGGCUGAAACUCCUUUUGCAAAAGAGGAUAAGAAUAUUCAAUACUGUUGAGGAAAUCUCCUAGACUGUAUAGGGCCUGUGGAUUGCGGUUCGGACUCAGUGGCCAUCUGGUAGCGAUGUCAGUGAUGGCACGCGCUCCGCUUUAAUGGGAAACCGCUGAAUCGGCGACGUUUCAGCAGCGGAGGCAGGAAAUCUGACCAGACCUAUGCCGAAAAGUUAACACAGGCACUGUCCACCAUAUUUUU
rnacentral:sRNA from 1 species